UUUUGGGGAGGGGGGCCGGGGGAAAAAGAUAAUAAGAGCAGAGAUGUGGAGAACACAUUACCUCUGCAACAUUGUGUCCGUGACGCCUUUAUCCACAAUGGCCAAAGGUGCAUCUGACAGUUUUUUUGCAAAAGCACGUGCUCUUGCUACUCCUCCAACAUCAGGUGAAACCACUACCAAGACAUGAGAACAAA